rnacentral:rRNA from 1 species
CCUACGGGUGGCAGCAGUAGGGAAUAUUGCUCAAUGGGGGAAACCCUGAAGCAGCAACGCCGCGUGGAGGAUGAAGGUUCUAGGAUUUGAAACCCCCUUUGUUAGAGAAGUUAAUGAAGGCAUCUGUCGCAUAAGCACCGGCUAAUUCCGUGCCAGAAGCCGCGGUAACACGGAGGCUGCAAGCGUUACCCGGAAUCACUGGGCGUAAAGAGGGCGCAGGCGGGUUUGUAAGUCAGAUGUGAAAGGCUGUGGCUCAACUGCAGAACUGCAAUUGAUACUGGGAGUCUAGAGUAUGGGAGAGGUAGGUGGAAUUCUUGGUGUAGGGGUGAAAUGCGUAGAUAUCAAGAGGAAUACUCAUUGCGAAGGCGGCUUACUGGAACGUUACUGACGCUGAUGCACGAAAGCGUGGGGAGCAAACAGGAUUAGAUACCCGGGUAGUC